CAUUAGCACUCGAAAGAAAGAAUCGGGCACAAAGCAAAACACCAGAUAGCCUGCGGAUCGGCGAGAAAAACAAAAAGUAGUAAGCGAAUGGUGACGUUAAUUCGCAAUGGAAUGGCAGCUGAAAUGCGAAAAAUUGCAAUCUCCCCGGAGUGCGCAAGUACAUGGUACCAUAGAUUACCCCAAAGAGAUAUACUAUACACAUCUCUGGGAGAGUCGACAGCUGUGGGGAGAUCGAGAAUACUAAUCACAUGUUAAUUGAUAACGACGACCACAACAAACUGCCAGUUAGUCAGGUGUAUCGCAACACUCCGACUCUGACGUAUAUUAUACAAUACCCGAUUGAGUGAUAGAAUACCAGGCAGCGCGAUAAAGUAAGUCACAUGACCUCGGGCCUCUCAGGAGGUGCGAUCCGGAGUGGUCUGGAUAUAGAGAAAGAUCCAACAUAUACCUCUCUUGGCAAGGGUAACUAUAGGGCAAC